rnacentral:rRNA from 1 species
AACGAACGCUGGCGGCAUGCCUAACACAUGCAAGUCGAACGAAGCCUUCGGGCUUAGUGGCGCACGGGUGCGUAACGCGUGGGAAUCUGCCCUUUGGUUCGGAAUAACAGUUGGAAACGACUGCUAAUACCGGAUGAUGACGAAAGUCCAAAGAUUUAUCGCCAGAGGAUGAGCCCGCGUAGGCGUGGCUAGUUGGUGUGGUAAAGGCGCACCAAGGCGACGAUCCUUAGCUGGUCUGAGAGGAUGAGCAGCCACACUGGGACUGAGACACGGCCCAAACUCCUACGGGAGGAAGCAGUGGGGAAUAUUGGACAAUGGGCGAAAGCCUGAUCCAGCAAUGCCGCGUGAGUGAUGAAGGCCUUAGGGUUGUAAAGCUCUUUUACCCGGGAUGAUAAUGACAGUACCGGGAGAAUAAGCUCCGGCUACCUCCGUGCCAGCCGCCGCCGUAA